GGCAGAAGGACCAAGACUAACAGAAAAAGUCCACCCAUUUCUGUCCUUCAUACCAGAAGAGAUUCAGGAACCAUGAGCUGCUCCAUGGAGAUAAAAUUUCUGCAGGUCACAGGCCCACUGAGGCUGGACCUCUAGGAGCAGAGGACACAGAGCAGCGAAGCCGAAACCUGGAGCUCCCGCUGCAGCCAGAGACAAAGGCACCGCCAAAUCCCGGAAGCCAUCUUGUCUGCUCCAGCUGCGUGCCUGAUUGGACGGUUCCCAGCCCAGCGUGCCUGAUUGGACAACGUUUAAGGUCCUGACCCUUCAGGCCCUGAGUGACAGAAGAUGUGAUCAGACACUGGGGCUGAAUGCAGAGUGACAACCUACGCUGCAGCCUUUUCAGCCAGGGCUUCCUCUUUUAGCUGAGCCAGGCCCAUCCCAGAGGGUAUUUGUAUUUAACCUUGCGUAUAAGGUCAUAUACACUUGUAAAUGAUAUAUGGCUACUCACAAAUAAAAAUAAUAUAAAAAUUA